rnacentral:lncRNA from 1 species
AGUAGUUAUUCAUAGGUAAUUAGUCUUUUGGUAAGAAAGUUACUACUUGUUUAAAGUUCCAGUUAAGAAGCCAAAUAAGAUACCAUUUAUAUCAAAAAUGAAAAAAUAAGGGGGCAUCUACUUUCUAGAAUAACGACCUGGGAAACUCAGACCAUCCUUCCUUCUGAGGACGCUGAAAAAACUGAAUCCAAGAACUAACAACAUAUUAAGGAACUGCCAGGUGGUGACCCAGCAUGCUAAGAACACAGCAAGGUAGUGGCUAUAUGCAUACUGGCUUUGUAAUCGUUGCUUAAGCCGUAUUUGUGCUGUGCAUUUUUUAUUAACUCCUAUGCAUCGCCAGGACCCUGAAGGUGUCAUACUCUUCCUGACAGGACCUACCAGCUUGACGGAGAGCUCUAUCCCCAUUUCCUAAAGAAGAAACCUAAUCCUUGGAAAUGUUCAGUGGCUGCCCCAAGAUGUCGGCACAACCUCUUGUGCUCUUGCCUCCUGCCAUAAGAAC